GGCCGGCGCCGUGGGCGUGUUCCGCCUGGGAGGCCCUGGAGGCCAGCGGGAAGGAUUCUGUGUGCUGAUAAGGCCUGUGGGUGCUUGCUAACGGCCAGUGUCUUUCAAGAAAGCUAAUGGAGAGUAUGUUCCUCCUAAAUGAAUAAACCAACAAAUGGGACAUGUGAUCAAGGAAACGAGAGAGAAAAAGAGUCACAGAUCCAUGAUUGGACUUUGGACUCCUUGACUGAUGGAAAGAAACUGCAUUCUUUUGCGGAAGCUACAUUGGAACCACAGCUGUGUAUCAUGAAUUGUUCCCAAACCGGUCUGCACAUUUGAAUAUCUUAUAGGAUAAUUGAGUUAUAAUCUCUCAGGGUGAGACCUAGGCAUUGGUAUUUUUUUUUUUUUUUAUUUGAAAGAGUUACGGAGAGGUAGAGAGAGACAGAGGUCUUCCAUCCACUGGCCCACUCCCCAGAUGGCUGCAACGGCUGGAGCUGCGCCGAUCUGAAGCUAGGAGCCAGGAGAUUCUUCCAGGUC